GACUGUUUUCUGAAAAUGCAGCUGAGUGGAAGUUUUUCUACCUCAGCUGACAGAUGAAUCUUCCCGUAAAGCGAAUGUGACAUUCUUACUUGUCACUGGUUCUGGGAAAUGGCACAAGAGAGAAGGAAGCUGGACCGAAGCCACUGAAAACUAAUAUAUGAUGAUAGAAUACCAAUGAUAGAUGAUCAUAAAGAUGCAGUGACAGUGGAAAAGUCCACCAUCAGCCGCCAUCAGCAGGCUGGAAAUUACGUGCAAACAUGAUAGAAUGUGGCACAGUCAGAGGAAAUGCAGCGUAUGUGUAAAGUGGUGAAAGAACAAAAUUGUUGUCCACAUUUGUUUAUUUUUGCAGUUUAAUAUUGGGUA